rnacentral:tRNA from 1 species
UUAAUCAAAGCCAAAUUUCAGAGGCAUAUUAUUGUUAAUAAUAUCAUUGGCUUACUAGCCUGAUUAAA